rnacentral:tRNA from 1 species
GCCGGUGUAGCUCAGUGGUAGAGCAGCGGUUUUGUAAACCGCCGGUCAUGGGUUCAAGUCCCUUCACCGGCUCC